CACGUAGGGUGCGAGCGUUGUCCGGAAUUAUUGGGCGUAAAGAGCUCGUAGGCGGUGUGUCGCGUCGGAUGUGAAAAUCCAGGGCUUAACCCUGGGCCUGCAUUCGAUACGGGCAGACUAGAGUUCGGUAGGGGAGACUGGAAUUCCUGGUGUAGCGGUGAAAUGCGCAGAUAUCAGGAAGAACACCCGUGGCGAAGGCGGUUCUCUGGGACGGUACUGACGCUGAGACGCGAAAGCGUGGGGAGCGAACAGG
rnacentral:rRNA from 1 species